UGGGGAAUAUUGGGCAAUGGGCGCAAGCCUGACCCAGCAACGCCGCGUGAAGGAAGAAGGCCCUCGGGUUGUAAACUUCUUUUGUCAGGGACGAAGCAAGUGACGGUACCUGACGAAUAAGCCACGGCUAACUACGUG
rnacentral:rRNA from 2 species